GACGAACGCUGGCGGCGUGCUUAACACAUGCAAGUCGAACGGAAAGGCCCCCUUGUGGGGUACUCGAGUGGCGAACGGGUGAGUAACACGUUAGUAACCUACCCUUGACUUUGGGAUAACUUCAGGAAACUGGGGCUAAUACCGGAUAGGAGCUCCUGCUGCAUGGUGGGGGUUGGAAAGUUUCGGCGGUUGGGGAUGGACUCGCGGCUUAUCAGCUUGUUGGUGGGGUAGUGGCUCACCAAGGCUUUGACGGGUAGCCGGCCUGAGAGGGUGACCGGCCACAUUGGGACUGAGAUACGGCCCAGACUCCUACGGGAGGCAGCAGUGGGGAAUAUUGCACAGUGGGCGGAAGCCUGAUGCAGCAACGCCGCGUGCGGGAUGACGGCCUUCGGGUUGUGAACCGCUUUCGCCUGUGACGAAGCGUGAGUGACGGUAAUGGGUAAAGAAGCACCGGCUAACUACGUG
rnacentral:rRNA from 1 species